rnacentral:rRNA from 1 species
GUCUUUUUGAAAUUUAAUAGAAAGUCUGACCUGCCCAGUGAUUAAUUUAACGGCCGCGGUAUACUGACCGUGCAAAGGUAGCAUAAUCAUUAGUCUUUUAAAAGAGGGCUGGAAUGAAAGGUUUGACGAAGUAUUAACUGUCUCAUCUUAUUUGAAAUUAAAACUUAACUUUUUAGUCAAAAGGCUUAAAUUUUAUUGGAAGACGAGAAGACCCUAUAGAGCUUUAUAUUAUUUAUUUUGAUUAAUUAUAUAUAAUUUUUAGUUAAAAUAUAUAUUAUUUUGUUGGGGUGACAAGAAAAUAAAAUUAACUUUUUUAACUAUUUAACAUUAAUAUAUGAUUAUUUGAUCCAUUAUUAUUGAUUAUUAGACUAAGUUACCUUAGGGAUAACAGCGUAAUCCUCCCCCAGAGUUCAUAUUUACGGGUAGGGCUUGCGACCUCGAUGUUGGAUUAAGAUAAUAAUUAGGUGUAGCCGCUUAUUUUAUAGGUCUGUUCGACCUUUAAAUUCUU